rnacentral:sRNA from 1 species
UCCACGAAACCUAUAUUGUAUGGCUC